UACGUAGGGGGCUAGCGUUGUUCGGAAUCACUGGGCGUAAAGCGCACGUAGGCGGAUCUUUAAGUCAGGGGUGAAAUCCCGAGGCUCAACCUCGGAACUGCCUUUGAUACUGGGGAUCUCGAGUCCGGGAGAGGUGAGUGGAACUGCGAGUGUAGAGGUGAAAUUCGUAGAUAUUCGCAAGAACACCAGUGGCGAAGGCGGCUCACUGGCCCGGAACUGACGCUGAGGUGCGAAAGCGUGGGGAGCAAACGGG
rnacentral:rRNA from 1 species